AUACGUAGGGGGCGAGCGUUGUCCGGAAUUAUUGGGCGUAAAGCGCGCGCAGGCGGUUCUUUAAGUCUUGUGUUUAAUCCCGGGGCUCAACCUCGGUACGCAUGGGAAACUGGAGGACUGGAGUGCAGGAGAGGGAAGCGGAAUUCCACGUGUAGCGGUGAAAUGCGUAGAGAUGUGGAGGAACACCAGUGGCGAAGGCGGCUUCCUGGCCUGUAACUGACGCUGAGGCGCGAAAGCGUGGGGAGCAAACAGGAUUAGAUACCCUGGUAGUCCACGCCGUAAACGAUGAGUGCUAGGUGUCGGGGGUGUCAUGCCCUCGGUGCCGAAGUUAACACAGUAAGCACUCCGCCUGGGGAGUACGGUCGCAAGACUGAA
rnacentral:rRNA from 1 species